rnacentral:lncRNA from 10 species
CCCUCUGCCUACAGGGGGUAUUGUGAAAUAUCUCUGCACUGAUCAACUAGGUGAUGUAACUCUUGUCUAGGCUCUGCCUACAGGGGCGUUUUGACAUAUCUCUGAACUGAUGACAAAAGUGAUGUAACUCUUGCCUAGGCUUUGCCUACAGGGGACAUUGUGACAUAUCUCUGCACUGAUCACCCAGGUGAUGCAACUCUUCUCUAUGCUCUGCCUACAGGGGACAUCGUGACAUAUCUCUGCACUGAUCACCCAGGUGAUGUAACUCCUGUCUAGGCUCUGCCUACAGGGGCAUUUUAAUAUAUCACUGCACUGAUCACCG